CUGCAAGACUCUUACGCCCAAAUUAGUUCCUGCCACCCUCUCCACGCCUCCACCCCCAGAGGCGGCCACUGUCCACCCUUCAGGCUGGUUCUUCUGAUGGUUCCCUCCGUGCGUCUCUGCUCCCUCGGCUUCUUGAUUCUGUGGUUGUGGGCAUUUUCCUCUCACUGCACGGUGUGUGGAACGCACUGGUUGGGCCAGCAGAGCCGCCAAAGCUGCUCAGACAGCAUAGGGUCCGACGUCUUAUGUGAGACACCGAGAAGGAGUCUCUGAAGCCGUCCUUAGAGCUCAUCCCCCGGGCACAGCAGGUCAGCACACCCCCCCCCCCGCCCCUAAACCUCACGGUCAUAAUGUGGCUGCUGUGGCCCAGGCAUCACCUACAGACCCAGUGGCGGCAGUAGAGGGGAGGGUGUCUCUUCGCAAAUGAGGAGGAGACCCUUGCCCAGAAGCCCCCAUUGUGAGGACUGAUGACCAUUCACGUCCAAGGUCUGGGCCAGGGUGUGGGGGGCGAACGCCCCCAGGUGGAGGCUACGCCCAUGAAGAGCAGGCCAGGUCGAUGUAGGAGAGCAUCUCCUGCCUCGGCCUCGCAGCCCUGGAGGGCUCGGGUCUCGCACCUGCCCACGUCCUUGUGUCCCGCCUCACCUCAGGUCUCAGCUGGUCAGCAGUGGGUGUCGCCGUCCUGGACGAGCGUGUGCACCCAGCACCUCGGGAGCACCCUGAGGCCCCUUCCUGACGUAACCCCUGCCUCUUCCUCCCUCUGUGUUAGCUCAUUUCAUGCGUCCGGGCGGCUGGCCACGGGGGCCCGGGGAUUCGGCGGAACAUGCCUCUGGGCGUCUCUGGGUGAGCCUGGCAUCUGAACGGACUGGUGAGCUGAGCAAGGCAGGUGCCCUCGGGCGCCGUGGGCCUCAUCCAGCCUGGAGACCUGAAGAGCGCAAAGGCGAGUCCACUCUCCCCGCCCCGGGGCCUCGACUCGAACAGCGGUCUCCUGCCUUUGGACGUGGACUGGAACCACGGCGGCUGCCCCGGUCCUCAGCCGGCCGCCUGCAGAUCCGAGGACCCGUCGGCUGCCAGAGCUGCUGCCAGCUCCCCACGAGGCUGCACGUGUGUGUGUCCACUCGGCAGCUCCCCACCUGGCCUCUCAGAUGGGAUCAAGGUCAAGCCACCACCUCUCCGGGAUCUUGUGACCUCCAGCUCCUCAGGCCAAGCCUCUGGGGUGCCACGGCUCCCCUCUCCCUGGUGGGCGCCCAGGCCCUCGGCAAAUGCUCUCUGCUCUCUGCGAAGCCGUCCUGGUGCUGUGCUGGGCUCUCCGCCUGACCCCUCAUGUCUGCACAAACCCCGGUGUUAUCAUGAGCUCAGAAGG
rnacentral:lncRNA from 9 species